GAAGUGUCCGGUUUGUGAUCAUUCGUACAAUUGUCAUCAUUACACUGGUGGUUCCAUUGUUGCUUAUAACAAAAAUUGUGAUCAAGAAAAAAACAAAGGUUGAAUCUCAACACAACAAGACACAACAGAAUGCAGAACCUGAGGGAGUUUAUCAAACACUCCAGCCAACGACUGAGGAGCAAGUCUACAGCAGCCUCACAGUGAUGGAGCAGGACUCCUCACAGCCGUCACCACAUCCACUCACUCUCUAACUGCUGGAGUCUCACUCUAUGUGAUAAAAUGAUGAUCUGACGAACCCAACUGAUGAAUGCGUGCAAUGAACGUUAUGCUACCAAAGGAGAACAUUAAAUGGCCAUAUUGUGGGGAAUUAACUGUCUAUGGCUGCUGCAAACAAAAUAAUUUCCAUAUUGUGCUUUUUGUUCAAAUUGUGAGUUGUCAAUAAAAUGGUUUUCAUCUCUUUUAUGUGUAUUUGUACUGUACAUGUUUUCUAUUUUAUAAUACUGUGGUAUGUGUGUACUGUCUUUACUACUGUAGACUGGCUGGUUAUAUGUUGGGUGUCCAUGUUGGGUAACAGGUAGGAUUAGGCCUGUAGGGAUGUAGUGUUUUAAGGAGCGGUGUCCUCACACAGAAGGACACAGCUGGUGUGUCUGUGAGUCAGAGGGAGGAGUUUUGACCUAAUCGAGGGUAAAGAGGAAAAGGAAGUUAUCCUCUGCAGAGACAGUCGUGAACUUAGCCUCAUUCCUGUUCACUAGUGUUUGUGUGCGUUGUCAGUUUCACAAUGAUGAAAGUCUGUGUGUGGACCGUGUGUCUGUUUACUGGUGAGUUUGUUCUACAUUCUCUUUACUUCACUUUUAAUUUGUUAGUAUGUGGAGUUAAUAAUGCAUCACUAAUAAAAUAACCAUCAUGUUUGAACUAAUGUAUGAACUAUAUGAAUGUUUCUCUGCUUGUCAUUUGUAGCUCUGACUGUCGGGGUAAAGAGUCUAACACAAACAGGUUACGUUGGAAAAAAUGUAACAUUCCACUGCUCAGACUGGAAGGGUUUCAUUUGGAGUAAUGUGAAAUCUUACGUUAAGUACAUUUGUAACAACCCAUGUAAAGAAGACAAACAUGUGAUCAUGAAAGUAAAACCUGGAGAGACUAAACAUGAGAACAGAAUAUAUUUAUUCAACAACGGAGUAACUUUGUCUGUGACCUUCAUUAAUCUCCAGAAGUCAGACUCUAGGACAUAUUACUGUGGACUGGAUGAGAAUUUACGAGACUCAUUAAUAGAAGUGAACCUUAACGUUAGAGAUGCAUUGAUUCCUGGUCCACAGACAACAGUUAGAACAGUCAGUGUCUGGUCAAGCUCCACUGUGUCUUCAAACAGCAAAGAUAUUACUUCAGAUAUUUCACCAUUGUUCACCACACGUCAGUCAACAGCAGCUGCUGCAUCGGAAGCACAUAAAGAAGAAGGAAAUGGAACAGGAAGUGUCCUGUACUUGAUCAUUGGUUUCACUGUUGUAAUAACUACACUGGUUCUUCUAUUGUGUCUAAUGAUGAAGAUAAAGAAAGAGAGAAAGAAAAAGGUGUCUAAGUCUGGUUCACCAGAAGCCGUCGUACAACAGGAUGCCGACUAUGCUGAAAUCAGACAUGAAGACCACACUGAGAGGGCGUCUGCUGCUGACGUUUACCCAGAGACGCUCUAUGCAAAUUAUUCCAGCCAACAGGACACAGCACAGCAGGACAGGGCUUCACACGAUGCUUCUGCUUCUAGUCCCCACGUCAGACACACAGAUUCCCAGUUUGAAUGUCUUUACUCUGUCGCUCAACUUCCUGAAGAGCGGCCUGAGUGUGAAUCUGCAAUAAAUGACUCAAGAUGCACCAUCUAUAGCGUAGUUAAGCCAGCACAGAUAACAUGAGGACUACUAAUACUACAGAUGAAAAGUGCUACACAAACCUCUGGCACAGUCACACAUGAAGUCUAAUAGUAGGAGGAGAGCAGCCAGCGCAUGCUAGCAAAGUGUUUUCAACAUGUUGCUGUGUUCAGGGGUUAACAAGUCAUUUCAGCUUUUAUUUGUUAUUAUAAUAUAUUAUAUUUGUACGUACGUAAUAAUAUAAAAUAAAUACAUGCUGCAUUUUAUGAACA
rnacentral:lncRNA from 1 species